CCUCCAUGGUGGGCUCCGUCUGGGGGCUGCAGUCAGGGGCAUAGACAUCUAUGAGAUGUCUAUGGUCAGGGGUACUUGGCAUCUUUAGACGGAUGAGGAAGCCGGAGCCAAUACGUCAUAGGCCACGCCUACUGGAUACAAACGCAGCGCGGGAGUCAGAUGAGGUCAGGAACAUAUGGCCGUCCCGUUGCUAGAACACGGCAGCGCCAAACAUUUCACUGACGACUGCUUCCUCAACUUGGGCCAAUACAGUGCUGGACUUGCUCAACGUCUGAAAAUCAAGUCUGGAUCAGUACCAACUCUCCUCGGCUCAGCUACAAACCUCGAAAAAGCCAGCUCAUCAAGUGCUUACAUUCAGCAGCUUCUCUCAAGGGAUGUUGCCUGCCAGACAGAAAACCUGGAAACGCAUAUUUGUAGGCACAAAGCUGUCCUUAAAGUCUAUGCAGCCCCAUUUUAAAAGUGAAGAAGACUGCGAUGCCUUUGGAGACCGUAGCACUCAGUGUUGCGCCACCUCAGAGAUUCUUGGUGUGGACGC